GAUGAAGAACGCAGCAAAAUGCGAUAAGUAAUGUGAAUUGCAGAAUUCAGUGAAUCAUCGAAUCUUUGAACGCACAUUGCGCCUGCCAGUAUUCUGGCGGGCAUGCCUGUUCGAGCGUCAUUUCAACCCUCAAGCACAGCUUGGUGUUGGGACUCGCGUUAAUUCGCGUUCCUCAAAUUGAUUGGCGGUCACGUCGAGCUUCCAUAGCGUAGUAGUAAAACCCUCGUUACUGGUAAUCGUCGCGGCCACGCCGUUAAACCCCAACUUCUGAAUGUUGACCUCGGAUCAGGUAGGAAUACCCGCUGAACUUAAGCAUAUCAAUAACGGAGGA
rnacentral:misc_RNA from 1 species